GGGACAGUAGGUUAAUCGGUUAAACCGCCGGUGCUUUACACCCCGGAGAUGUGGGUCCGACCCCCACCUGUUCCA
rnacentral:tRNA from 1 species